AUUGAACGCUGGCGGCAGGCCUAACACAUGCAAGUCGAACGAGUGGCGGACGGGUGAGUAAUGUCUGGGAAACUGCCUGAUGGAGGGGGAUAACUACUGGAAACGGUAGCUAAUACCGCAUACCAUCGGAUGUGCCCAGAUGGGAUUAGCUAGUAGGGGGGGUAAAGGCUCACCUAGGCGACGAUCCCUAGCUGGUCGGAGAGGAUGACCAGCCACACUGGGACUGAGACACGGGCCAGACUCCUACGGGAGGCAGCAGUGGGGAAUAUUGGACAAUGGGCGCAAGCCUGAUGCGGCCAUGCCGCGGGUGUGAAGAAGGCCUUCGGGUUGUAAAGCACUUUUGGCGAGGAAGCGUUACUCGCAGAGGAAGCACCGGCUAACUCCGUGCCAGCAGCCGCGGUAAUAC
rnacentral:rRNA from 1 species